rnacentral:rRNA from 1 species
AACACAGGGAUUACCUCAGUAACGGCGAGUGAAGCGGUAACAGCUCAAAUUUGAAAUCUGGCUCUUUCAGGGUCCGAGUUGUAAUUUGUAGAAGAUGCUUUGGGUGUGGCGCCGGUCUAAGUUCCUUGGAACAGGACGUCAUAGAGGGUGAGAAUCCCGUACGUGACUGGUCGCCUUCGCCCGUGUAAAGCUCUUUCGACGAGUCGAGUUGUUUGGGAAUGCAGCUCAAAAUGGGUGGUAUAUUUCAUCUAAAGCUAAAUAUUGGCCAGAGACCGAUAGCGCACAAGUAGAGUGAUCGAAAGAUGAAAAGCACUUUGGAAAGAGAGUUAAACAGUACGUGAAAUUGUUGAAAGGGAAGCGCUUGCAACCAGACUUGCACGCAGUUGAUCAUCCGGGGUUCUCCCCGGUGCACUCUGCUGCGUUCAGGCCAGCAUCGGUUCUGGUGGUUGGAUAAAGGCCUUGGGAAUGUGGCUCCUCUCGGGGAGUGUUAUAGCCCUCGGUGCAAUGCAGCCUACCGGGACCGAGGACCGCGCUUCGGCUAGGAUGCUGGCGUAAUGGUUGUAAGCGACCCGUCUUGAAACACGGACCAAGGAGUCUAACAUCUAUGCGAGUAUUUGGGUGUCAAACCCAUAUGCGGAAUGAAAGUGAACGGAGGUGAGAACCCUUAAGGGUGCAUCAUCGACCGAUCCUGAUGUCUUCGGAUGGAUUUGAGUAAGAGCAUAGCUGUUGGGACCCGAAAGAUGGUGAACUAUGCGUGAAUAGGGUGAAGCCAGAGGAAACUCUGGUGGAGGCUCGCAGCGGUUCUGACGUGCAAAUCGAUCGUCAAAUUUGCGCAUAGGGGCGAAAGACUAAUCGAACCAUCUAGUAGCUGGUCCUGC